rnacentral:rRNA from 1 species
CCUACGGGAGGCAGCAGUGGGGAAUAUUGCGCAAUGGGCGAAAGCCUGACGCAGCGACGCCGCGUGAGGGAUGAAGGUCUUCGGAUCGUAAACCUCUGUCAGCAAGGAAGUACGGUCACUGUGCUAAUCAGCAGUGAAUUGACGGUACCUGCAAAGGAAGCACCGGCUAACUCCGUGCCAGCAGCCGCGGUAAUACGGAGGGUGCGAGCGUUAAUCGGAAUUACUGGGCGUAAAGCGCUCGUAGGCGGUAUGUCAAGUCAAGGGUGAAAUCCCCGCGCUCAACGUGGGAACUGCCUUUGAAACUGGCAGACUGGAGUGUGUGAGAGGAUAGUGGAAUUCCAGGUGUAGGAGUGAAAUCCGUAGAUAUCUGGAGGAACAUCAGUGGCGAAGGCGACUAUCUGGCACAUAACUGACGCUGAGGAGCGAAAGCGUGGGUAGCAAACAGGAUUAGAUACCCGAGUAGUC